rnacentral:lncRNA from 1 species
AACAACUUUUCCAAACACAACCAUAUAAUAAUUCUCCUACGAAUGUAAAACAAUUGAAUCAACAAAUAAACGAAAACAAUUAUAAUGAAUUAAAUAACAUAAAACCAAAUGAAAAUAUAAAAAUUUUGAAUAUACGUUCUAUAUCACUACCUGCCCAAAAAAAUAAUCAAUCAUAUUAUGGUAUUAAUACAACAGAUGAUAGUUAUAUAUAUUUAAACAAUAAAAUAAAUAAUGUAGAACAUAUAUGUAAACAUUUAAGUGCUAACAAUUUGCAAGAUAGUUCUGCUGGUGUAAAUGCGGAAUAUACAUGCAUAACGAGCAUACAAAGUCCACAAGCUGAUCAUAGUGUUAUGAAUAAUGUAAAUGUAAAUGAUAAUGACAGGAGUUAUAUAACAACAGAAGAGGGAAUAGAAAUCGAAAGUUUAUAUUAUGGUAUAGAAGGUAGUAACAUCCAAAUGGAUAAUGUACGGUCGUGUAACUCACAAUUAAGCUAUUCACAAUCUAGAUACCCACAAUCGAGCAAUGUUAUUAAAAAUGAAAUGAAGGAAAUUUUAAAAAGUGAUCAACUUACUGAAAGAGUUAAAGAAAAAUGUAAAAAAAAGGAUGCAAAAAAGGAUGUAAAAAAUGAUGCAAAAAAUGAUGCAAAAAAUGAUGCAAAAAAGGAUGCAAAAAAUGAUGCAAAAAAUGAUGUAAAAAAUGAUGCAAAAAANNNNNNNNNNGAUGCAAAAAAUGAUGCAAAAAAUGAUGUAAAAAAUGAUGCAAAAAAUGAUGCAAAAAAUGAUGCAAAAAAUGAUGCAAAAGAGAAUGCAAAAGAGGAUACAAAAGAGAAUGCAAAAGAGAAUGCAAAAGAUAAUGCAAAAGAGGAUACAAAAAAAGAUACAAAAAAAGAUACAAAAAAAGAUACACAAAAAGAUACACAAACUGAAAAUGAUACGACAGUGGGAAACGUAAAUGAAAACCUGACCCAAGUAAAAACACGAGAAGGAAGUAAUACUUACGUUAAUUAUGAUAUUAAUAUUGUAAACAACAUAAAUAGUAUAAACAGUAUAAGUAAUAUAAACGAUAUAAAUUACAUGAACAACCAUAACCAAUACAUCAUGUGUAAUAGUAACAAUUUUGAGACAUAUUCCAAAAAUACACAUGUAAUGGAUAAUAUAAGUAACGAAG